rnacentral:rRNA from 1 species
AGCAGCCGCGGUAAUUCCAGCUCCAAUAGCGUAUAUUAAAGUUGUUGCAGUUAAAAAGCUCGUAGUUGAAUUUCGGGGUCAGCAAGUUGGUCGUGCCACCGGUAUGCACUGGCUUUGCUUGAUUCCUCCUUCUUGUAGAACCGUAAUGCCAUUAAUUUGGUGUUGCGGGGAAACAGGACUGUUACUUUGAAAAAAUUAGAGUGUUUAAAGCAGGCUAACGCUUGAAUACAUUAGCAUGGAAUAAUGAAAUAGGACGACGAUCCUAUUUUGUUGGUUUCUAGGAUUGACGUAAUGAUUAAUAGGGAUAGUUGGGGGCAUUAGUAUUCAAUUGUCAGAGGUGAAAUUCUUGGAUUUAUUGAAGACUAACUACUGCGAAAGCAUUUGCCAAGGAUGUUUUCAUUAAUCAAGAACGAAAGUUAGGGGAUCGAAGACGAUCAGAUACCGUCGUAGUCUUAACC